rnacentral:rRNA from 1 species
GGUUCAGGAUGAACGCUAGCUACAGGCUUAACACAUGCAAGUCGAGGGGCAGCAUUGGAGUAGCAAUACUUCAGAUGGCGACCGGCGCACGGGUGAGUAACACGUAUCCAACCUGCCGCUUACUCGGGGAUAGCCUUUCGAAAGAAAGAUUAAUACCCGAUGGUAUAAAGAGUUCGCAUGUUCUCUUUAUUAAAGAAUUUCGGUAAGCGAUGGGGAUGCGUUCCAUUAGAUAGUUGGCGGGGUAACGGCCCACCAAGUCUACGAUGGAUAGGGGUUCUGAGAGGAAGGUCCCCCACAUUGGAACUGAGACACGGUCCAAACUCCUACGGGAGGCAGCAGUGAGGAAUAUUGGUCAAUGGACGAGAGUCUGAACCAGCCAAGUAGCGUGAAGGAUGACUGCCCUAUGGGUUGUAAACUUCUUUUAUAAGGGAAUAAAGUGAGGGACGUGUCCCUUUUUGUAUGUACCUUAUGAAUAAGGAUCGGCUAACUCCGUGCCAGCAGCGGC